rnacentral:rRNA from 1 species
CGAUCCCACCUUCGACGGCUCCUUCCUUACGGUUAGGCCACCGGCUUCGGGUGUUACCGACUUUCGUGGUGUGACGGGCGGUGUGUACAAGGCCCGGGAACGUAUUCACCCCGGCGUGCUGAUCCGGGAUUACUAGCAACUCCAGCUUCAUGGAGGCGAGUUGCAGCCUCCAAUCCGAACUGAGACCGGCUUUAUGGGAUUCGCUAAACCUCGCGGUUUCGCAGCCCUUUGUACCGGCCAUUGUAGCGUGUUUGCAGCCCUAGACAUAAGGGGCAUGAUGACUUGACGUCAUCCCCACCUUCCUCCGAGUUGACCCCGGCAGUCUCCUACGAGUCCCCACCAUUACGUGCUGGCAACAUAGAAUAAGGGUUGCGCUCGUUGCGGGACUUAACCCAACAUCUCACGACACGAGCUGACGACAGCCAUGCACCACCUUCAUUGAGC